AUUGAACGCUGGCGGCAGGCCUAACACAUGCAAGUCGAGCGGAGCGGGGGAGGGGGGAGUAAGGCUCAGGAAUCUGCCUGGUAGUGGGGGAUAAGGUCCGGAACUGGGGGCUAAAACCGCAACCUACCAGAUGAGCCUAGGACGGAUUAGCAGGUUGGUGGGGUAAAGGCCUACCAUGGCGACGAUCCGUAACUGGUCUGAGAGGAUGAUCAGUCACACUGGAACUGAGACACGGUCCAGACUCCUACGGGAGGCAGCAGUGGGGAAUAUUGGACAAUGGGCGAAAGCCUGAUCCAGCCAUGCCGCGUGUGUGAAGAAGGUCUUCGGAUUGUAAAGCACUUUAAGUUGGGAGGCGUUACCAACAGAAUAAGCACCGGCUAACUUCGUGCCAGCAGCCGCGGUAAUUC
rnacentral:rRNA from 1 species